AUUCGCGACUAUUUAGUACGUGUCGAUCGAUGCAGCCGCGGCAUGAGCGAUGAUUACAAGGCUUGAAAGUAACGGCGAUUGGAUAAGCGUAACAGAUGGUGCAGGUAUCGUCGUCGUCGCUGAUCAAUCUAGUCUCUGAGCGGGUUUCUUGGUUGUUCCCUCGCCGAGAACGAAAUACAGUGAGCUCAUCUGAAAACUCGGCUCCAUUAGGAGAGUUCCAGUCGUUCGCGGAACCUCUUUAGCUUCGUGAGCUGUGAAAAAAUAGUAGCGAUUCGUAAUGAUAUAUGAAAAAAUUUUUAUCACGAAGAAGCGCAUUUUUAUCCCAAUAAUAAACUUGACGCAAUACCGCAAUAUAA